GACGAACCGUACGAACGUUAUUCGGAAUCACUGGGCUUAAAGGGUGCGUAGGCGGCGCUGUAAGUUGGGUGUGAAAUCCCUCGGCUCAACCGAGGAACUGCAUUCAAAACUACAGUGCUUGAGGGAGAUAGAGGUGAGCGGAACUUAGGGUGGAGCGGUGAAAUGCGUUGAUAUCCUAAGGAACACCCGUGGCGAAAGCGGCUCACUGGGUCUCUUCUGACGCUGAGGCACGAAAGCUAGGGGAGCGAACGGG
rnacentral:rRNA from 1 species